GGCUGUUCUUCUACCUUUCAUUGAUGAGGAGGAUGAUGACCAUUUCCUGGUUGUGGAAAGAAUUUCCCUUUCUAAUGGGCCAAAAAUGCUUUAAAUAUCUUGGGCUAAACUCAGAAGCGAUGUAUAAGUCUCAGGGAGGUCAACAGAGAUUAAGGAUUCUCCGGAAGACAAUUCAGAACACACGUCAGACAUCUGGGCCCUGGGUGAAAAUGCAGAAUUCCAACGGAAUCAAUGGAGUCACCCAGAUGAGGAAGUAGCCCAUGAUGGAUCUGGAAGAAGAUGAUAUUGCGAAUCUCAAAAGAAGGAAUCAUUGGUGAAGCAGUGUAGUUUUUAAACCAAAUUGAUUGAGAUGACAUCUCCUUUCAGUUGCAUAACCAAGAUUUUGGAUUUGGA